rnacentral:tRNA from 1 species
GCGGGGGUGGCGGAACUGGCAGACGCGCUAGCUUCAGGAGCUAGUGGAAGAAAUUCCUUAAGGGUUCGACUCCCUUCGUCCGCA